GCCUUCAUGGUGUAGUGGCAGCGUACUCGACGCGUAUUCGAGAGGUCCGUGGUUCGAGUCCCGGCGACGGCA
rnacentral:tRNA from 1 species